CGGGCACUUCGGUGUCAGUGGCGGACGGCUGAGUAACACGUGGGUGACCUGCCCCGGAGCGGGGGAUAACUGCCCGAAAGGGUGGCUAAUACCGCAGACAUCAUGGAUUCGGUUUCAUGAUUGAACCGUUCAGGGUUCUGGGAGGGGCCCGCGGCCGAUUAGCUAGCUGGUGGGGUAAUGGCCUACCAGGGCAUCGAUCGGUAGCUGGUCUGAGAGGAUGAUCAGCCAGACUGGGACUGCGAACGGCCCAGACUCCUACGGGAGGCAGCAGUUAGGAAUUUUGGGCAAUGGGCGAAAGCCUGACCCAGCAACGCCGCGUGGGUGAUGAAGGCCCUCGGGUCGUAAAGCCCUUUUCCCAGGGAAGAUAGUGACGGUACCUGGGGAAUCAGCCCCGGCUAACUACGUGCCAGCAGCCGCGGUAAUACGUAGGGGGCAAGCGUUGUCCGGAUUUAUUGGGCGUAAAGCGCUCGCAGGUGGUCCGUCGCGUCGUGCGUGAAAGCCCCCGGCUCAACUGGGGAGUGUCGUGCGAUACGGGCGGACUGGAGGCCAGUAGGGGGAUGCGGAAUUCCGGGUGUAGUGGUGGAAUGCGUAGAGAUCCGGAGGAACACCAGCGGCGAAGGCGGCAUCCUGGACUGGUCCUGACACUCAUGAGCGAAAGCGUGGGGAGCGAUCCGGAUUAGAUACCCGGGUAGUCCACGCUGUAAACGAUGCGCACUAGGUGUCGGGGGUAUCGACCCCCUCGGUGCCGCAGCUAACGCGAUAAGUGCGCCGCCUGGGGACUACGGCCGCAAGGCUAAAACUC
rnacentral:rRNA from 1 species